rnacentral:rRNA from 1 species
GAUGAACGCUAGCGGGAGGCCUAACACAUGCAAGCCGAGCGGUAUUUCUUCUUCGGGAGAGAGAGAGCGGCGUACGGGUGCGGAACACGUGUGCAACCUGCCUUUAUCUAGAGGAUAGCCUUUCGAAAGGAAGAGUAAUACUCUAUAAUAUAUUAAUUGGCAUCAAUUGAUAUUGAAAACUCCGGUGGAUAGAGAUGGGCACGCGCAAGAUUAGCUAGUUGGUGAGGUAAGGGCUAACAAAGGCAAUGAUCUUUAGGGGGCCUGAGAGGGUGAUCCCCCACACUGGUACUGAGACACGGACCAGACUCCUACGGGAGGCAGCAGUGAGGAAUAUUGGUCAAUGGGUGCAAGCCUGAACCAGCCAUCCCGCGUGAAGGAUUAAGGUCCUAUGGAUUGUAAACUUCUCUUGUAUAGGGAUAAGCCUACCCUCGUGAGGGUAGCUGAAGGUACUAUACGAAUAAGCACCGGCUAACUCCGUGCCAGCCGCCGCAGUAAGAC